rnacentral:rRNA from 1 species
GAUGAACGCUGGCGGCGUGCCUAAUACAUGCAAGUCGAGCGAACAGACGAAGAGCUUGCUCCUCUGACGUUAGCGGCGGACGGGUGAGUAACACGUGGAUAACCUACCUAUAAGACUGGGAUAACUUCGGGAAACCGGAGCUAAUACCGGAUAAUAUAUUGAACCGCAUGGUUCAAUAAUGAAAGACGGUUUUGCUGUCACUUAUAGAUGGAUCCGCGCCGCAUUAGCUAGUUGGUAAGGUAACGGCUUACCAAGGCAACGAUGCGUAGCCGACCUGAGAGGGUGAUCGGCCACACUGGAACUGAGACACGGUCCAGACUCCUACGGGAGGCAGCAGUAGGGAAUCUUCCGCAAAGGGCGAAAGCCUGACGGAGCAACGCCGCGUGAGUGAUGAAGGUCUUCUGAUCGUAAAACUCUGUUAUUAGGGAAGAACAAAUGUGUAAGUAACUAUGCACGUCUUGACGGUACCUAAUCAGAAAGCCACGGCUAACUACGUG